GUCACACCAUGAGAGUUAGGAAUACCCGAAGCCUGUGAGCUAACCUUAAUAGAGGCAGCAGUCGAAGGUAGAACUAAUGAUUGGGGUGAAGUCGUAACAAGGUAUC
rnacentral:rRNA from 1 species